CCAGUAGCUCAGUUGGUUAGAGCGUCGUGCUAAUAGCGCGAAGGUAACAACUUCGAGACCUGCAUGAGUCA